GCCAGGAUAGCUCAGUGGUAGAGCGCGUAAUCACCUUGGUCGCUAUUCUCCGGCGACGGCAGUGAUGAUCAGGGUUACUCCGCUGUCAACGGCGAGGUCGCGGGUUCGAGUCCCGCUCCUGGCG
rnacentral:tRNA from 1 species